rnacentral:rRNA from 1 species
GGCUCAGGAUGAACGCUGGCGGCGUGCCUAAUACAUGCAAGUCGAGCGAAUGGAUUAAGAGCUUGCUCUUAUGAAGUUAGCGGCGGACGGGUGAGUAACACGUGGGUAACCUGCCCAUAAGACUGGGAUAACUCCGGGAAACCGGGGCUAAUACCGGAUAACAUUUUGAACUGCAUGGUUCGAAAUUGAAAGGCGGCUUCGGCUGUCACUUAUGGAUGGACCCGCGUCGCAUUAGCUAGUUGGUGAGGUAACGGCUCACCAAGGCAACGAUGCGUAGCCGACCUGAGAGGGUGAUCGGCCACACUGGGACUGAGACACGGCCCAGACUCCUACGGGAGGCAGCAGUAGGGAAUCUUCCGCAAUGGACGAAAGUCUGACGGAGCAACGCCGCGUGAGUGAUGAAGGCUUUCGGGUCGUAAAACUCUGUUGUUAGGGAAGA